CGAAGGUGCAAGCGUUACUCGGAAUUACUGGCGUAAGCGUGCGUAGGUGGUCGUUAAGUCCGUUGUGAAGCCCUGGGCUCAACCUGGGAACUGCAGUGGAUACUGGGCGACUAGAGUGUGGUAGAGGGUAGCGGAAUUCCUGGUGUAGCAGUGAAAUGCGUAGAGAUCAGGAGGAACAUCCAUGGCGAAGGCAGCUACCUGGACCAACACUGACACUGAGGCACGAAAGCGUGGGAGCAAACAGGAUU
rnacentral:rRNA from 1 species